GAAGCGUUCUUCAUAAGGGGAUGGAAUUCAGGGUGCUAUGGGCUUCAGUGAGCUGGUCGGACUGGGAGCAGAAGAUGAGGAGUGUGCAUCUGGUUGGGACGCCCCAAGCAGCCUCAGGCCAGGCACCGAGUCCGUCUCUCCCAUUCUCCUGCGCUUCUUCCUCUGUGGUUUCCUUGAGAAAGUCUCUCAUCAAACACCAAGCACCCCUAACUCCAGUGGAGACGGCAUGAAGUGGUUGCAGGAAUGGAGGAGGGGAAUCAACUGCUCUACUCAGUGGUCAAUAUCUAUUCAGUAUCAGAAAAAGUCUCUCAGAGGAGCAUUGUACAGCAGCCAUUCACCAUUCAUUUAUUGCAGGCUAUUGGACUGUUUGUCGGAGUGUCUCCAUGUUUUGAACUUACAUUGAACAUUUACACGUUAUUCAGUAUACAUUGAAUGAGACCAGGGGAAUUAAUAACACCCAGGUCUGAUGUUUCCUGGUCUAAAAAAGUUGUUUCAAAGUAACCUUUCAUGAAAAGAAUACGGUAUUAGAAUAUUACUUUGUAAGGGACCAAGCAGGCCAUUGGACACCUGCAGCAGAUAUACUCUCAUACUGAUGAUCUUUAUAGUUACUGACACAGCACAUAUAGAUAUAGCUACUAGAGGCACUACUAGAGUAGCAAUAGAAGUAUUGAUAAUGUACUACCAUUACAAAAUAACAGUUAUUUCAUGUGUUUUAAUAGUCUCAUUUAGUUCGCAUUUAUUGACUAUUACUAUUAAUGCUAUGAAUUAUUAUAACGAGUCAAAUCAAAAUUAAGAUAAUUUUAGUGACCUUAGCAAACAUGCGACUUGCCUAGUUUAAGGAAAUAGGACUGUUUGAUUUCCAGUGGUAACAACCUUUUACAAAUGAUCAGAAACUGAAGCCUGAGUAAUUAAUCUCGCCUGAGUAACAGAGCUUUGUUGCUUUAAAUUUCAUGUACUGUGGUUAAAACAGUAAAACGUAGUAGGUUUACUUAAUUGUGUGCCUGUGCUGUGUUUGGAUGCUUCUAUUUUCAAGGACCACUCCUCCAGACCAAAGGAAUUAACUGUGCCAUGAGCAUUGCCUCAUGGGAUAUUACGGGCAGUUUAGAGAGAAUAAGAAUAGAUACAAGCCUGCAGCCAAAUGGAAUGCAACCAAAGUAAUGUUCCAUAUUUGGAAUGGCCAUAAUAUAUGUUAUGCUACCAUUUAUCUGGGGGACUGCCUUUAAGCUUCUAAAUUUUGUGUAUGUGCAUUGGAGACUUGGACAAAUUCCUUGCAGAAGAUCUGGGUAAAUUCCCCAGUCAGGUCCCGCUGUAUUAGUCAGAAAAAGAUUCUCUUUGGAAAGCUUUCCAUUGCCCUGAAAAGAAAAAAAUAUUGGAUUAAGUUGUAGAAUACCUCACAAUGUUCCUAUUGAAUAUUUGGAGAUGAGGUUCUAACUUGUUUUCUGUUGUUGGGCUGAAGACCAAGUGAGCUGAUGUAGACAUGGAGCAGCAUACAGUAUGUGGCGUGGACCCCCCUCCCCCACCCUGUGGCCUGUGGGUUUCCCUUUGUCAUCCUAUGCCUGGAGCUCCAGAUAGGCAGGGACAGCAAAGGGAAGCUCAGCUGUCACCACUGACCUCAUAGUGACACCACAGCUAUUGGUUGAGUUUAGCCAAUCACGGCUUUGCUUGUUGACAUGAGCCAAAAUGGGCGGGGCUGGUGUAGCUCCUAUUCUCAUGCCCUUUGGCCCCAACCCUGCUUCAUCCAGCUCACAGAGAACCCUCCUGAUCCUACAUGUGCAUAAACAUACGUGGUUUUGAUCUGCAUAUCACCAUCCACUGUGUACAUGUGUAUAAGUGUGUAACUCUGCCUUAUCAGUGUUUAUCGCUUUUUAUGGCUUACUCACUGGGGGCUUUGGGUGGGGAUGCUGUAAAGCGCUUUGGGACAAUGUAAUGUUGUGAUAAUGCGCUAUACAAAAAUAAAUUUGUUGUUGUUGUUGUUGUUUUCCUUUGUUAGUCUGUUGUCAUUGUUUAAAAACUGCAGCACAAGAACAAAAUCUCAUUGUACUGUAUUAUAGUUACAGUAUCUCUCUUAUCUCUUAUCUUAAACUGACAGGAAUUAAAGCCUCCAGUUCCCAAGCAGGUUUGUCAGCAGCCGUCACCUCCUUUACCCACAAAUGUGCAAAAGCUGGAUGAUAGGACUGAGCUAGUCCCCAGAUCUGAGCCUAAGGUUAACCCCUUCAACCUGCUCUAGGCCUCACAGGGAUCUGAGCCCCAGAUCCUUUAAGGCAUGCCCAGCAGGUCCUCCUAAUAACCAUACAGUGCAUGAAAACCCUGGCCUUUGAAAGCAGAGAUAACUUAUACCAGCAUUGUUUGAUGGUGUACUUGUAAUUAUAAAGAGGAAAAGGAAACAGUGGCAUGCACACAAUCGAUUGCUGCAUAAUACACCACUAGCUUAUUAAACUCAAUAAUGAUAUGACAAUGUUGACAACGAUGAUGCUGUUUUAAAUGUUUAAAGAGUGAGGUCUCUGUAAAAAUUUAUUUAACCUUGUCUGCAGAAGAUAAAUGCAAUGCAGUUAAUAAACGUCAUUACUAUCAAA